rnacentral:rRNA from 1 species
UACGAAGGGGGCUAGCGUUGCUCGGAAUGACUGGGCGUAAAGGGCGCGUAGGCGGAUGACACAGUCAGAUGUGAAAUUCCCGGGCUUAACCUGGGGGCUGCAUUUGAUACGUGUUGUCUAGAGUGAGGAAGAGGGUUGUGGAAUUCCCAGUGUAGAGGUGAAAUUCGUAGAUAUUGGGAAGAACACCGGUGGCGAAGGCGGCGAUCUGGGUCGAUACUGACGCUGAGGUGCGAAAGCGUGGGGGAGCAAACAGG